rnacentral:rRNA from 1 species
ACGGACAUAUCACGUUGAAACACCGGUUCUCGUACGAUCACCGAAGUUAAACAACGUCGAGCCUGAUCAGUACCUAGAUGAGUGACCACUUGC